UUUACAAUUUCAAGUACAAUAUUAAUUCUUCAACUCAAUCUGAUAUGGCCAAUCCUAACAACAACAGCAGAGCUUCCUUGUUUGCCCUAGCCCUCGCUCUUUUUCUCCUCAUCGCAGUAGCUCAGAGCAAACCAGGUUACCGCAUUCCAGUUCCUGCAGGGCCAACAUGUGAUACAGUGUUCGGAGUGAGGAAAGGGGACACUUGUUUCGACAUCGGUCAGAAUUUCAAGCUCUCGGCUCAUGAUUUUAAUUGUAUCAACCCUAAUGUCAAUUGCGCUGCAUUGUUCGUGGGGCAAUGGGUUUGUAUUAGCGGAACCGCUUGAAAAGAUUAUGGAUCCUCCUGAACUGAAGUUUCGAAAGUACUGUCGAAUAAACUAAAGUGUAGCCAAGCAAGGUCGUUAGGCUAAGUUUGAGAAGCUACUUCUGUUGUUCUUUUUGUUGUGUUUGGUACUAAAUAAUUGGAUGUUUAUAUAAUGCAUCCCCAGGUUUGCUUCUUCAUUGUAACCCUGAGAAUUCCAUAACGUGGAAGUACAACAGUGCUGUUAAUA